UUAGUAUUUGGUCGUAGACCCGAAACCAGGUGAUCUACCCUUGGUCAGGUUGAAGUUCAGGUAACACUGAAUGGAGGACCGAACCGACUUACGUUGAAAAGUGAGCGGAUGAACUGAGGGUAGCGGAGAAAUUCCAAUCGAACCUGGAGAUAGCUGGUUCUCUCCGAAAUAGCUUUAGGGCUAGCCUCAAGUGAUGAUUAUUGGAGGUAGAGCACUGUUUGGACGAGGGGCCCCUCUCGGGUUACCGAAUUCAGACAAACUCCGAAUGCCAAUUAAUUUAACUUGGGAGUC
rnacentral:rRNA from 1 species